GACGAACGCUGGCGGCGUGCUUAACACAUGCAAGUCGAACGGUAAGGCCCUUCGGGGUACACGAGUGGCGAACGGGUGAGUAACACGUGGGUGAUCUGCCCUGCACUUCGGGAUAAGCCUGGGAAACUGGGUCUAAUACCGGAUAGGACCACUGCCUGCAUGGGUGGUGGUGGAAAGCUUUUGCGGUGUGGGAUGGGCACGCGGCCUAUCAGCUUGUUGGUGGGGUGAUGGCCUACCAAGGCGACGACGGGUAGCCGGCCUGAGAGGGUGACCGGCCACACUGGGACUGAGAUACGGCCCAGACUCCUACGGGAGGCAGCAGUGGGGAAUAUUGCACAAUGGGCGCAAGCCUGAUGCAGCGACGCCGCGUGAGGGAUGACGGCCUUCGGGUUGUAAACCUCUUUCGGCACCGACGAAGCGCAAGUGACGGUAGGUGCAGAAGAAGGACCGGCCAACUACGUGCCAGCAGCCGCAGUAA
rnacentral:rRNA from 1 species